GCCUGGGUGGCUCAGUCAGUUGAGCAUCUGACUUCGGCUCAGGUCAUGAUCUCACAGUUAGUGGGUUCGAGCCCUGCGUCGGGCU
rnacentral:tRNA from 1 species